rnacentral:rRNA from 1 species
GCUGGUUGCCUGUGAAAUGAAUCUAAGUUCUCCCUUAAUUUUACCUCACCCAUAGACUCGAACACUUACCCGUAGCAAAUUAAGAGUAAUUUAAAGGAGGAACAGCUCCUUUAAAAAAGAAUACAACCUCCUCCAGAGGAUAAGCACUUAUCCAACAAACUUGUAGGCCUUUAAGCAGCCACCACCAAAGAAUGCGUCAAAGCUCAAUCCCCCAAAAAUCCAUAAGCAAAUGCGACUCCCUCACCCACAACAGGCUAACCUAUGAAAAAUAGGAGCAUUAAUGCUAAAAUAAGUAACUAAGGAUAUCCUUCUAAAGCACAAACUUACAUUUGACAUUAUUAACAGGCCCACUAAUACCUUAACCACCACAAGACCAAGUAUUUAACAAUCCUGUUAAACCAACCCAGGAGUGCCCAUCUAGAAAGAUUCAAACCUGUAAAAGGAACUAGGCAAAUUUCAAGGCCCGACUGUUUACCAAAAACAUAGCCUUCAGCACACCAAGUAUUGAAGGUGGUGCCUGCCCAGUGACAUUAAGUUUAACGGCCGCGGUAUCCUAACCGUGCAAAGGUAGCGCAAUCAAUUGUCCCAUAAAUCGAGACUUGUAUGAAUGGCCAAACGAGGUCUUAACUGUCUCUUACAGGUAAUCAGUGAAAUUGAUCUCCCUAUGCAAAAGUAGGGAUAAACUCAUAAGACGAGAAGACCCUGUGGAACUUAAAAACCAGCAGCCACUCUAAACUAAACCAAAGCCCACCAGGCUCACUACCAUAGACAAUUGGCUCGCAUUUUUCGGUUGGGGCGACCUUGGAGAAAAAAAUAUCCUCCAAAAAUAAGACCACUCCUCUUAACCAAGACCAACCACUCAACGUACCAAUAGUAACCAGACCCAGCAUAAGCUGAUCAAUGAACCAAGCUACCCCAGGGAUAACAGCGCAAUCCCCCUCAAGAGCC